rnacentral:rRNA from 1 species
GACGAACGCUGGCGGCGCGCCUAACACAUGCAAGUCGAACGGGGUUAUGCGCUGAGAGGCUCUUCGGAGCGGAUCUUGCAUAACCUAGUGGCGGACGGGUGAGUAACACGUGAGCAACCUGCCCCGGAGUGGGGGAUAACGUUUGGAAACGAACGCUAAUACCGCAUGAUAUUGCCGAACGGCAUCGUUUGGCAAUCAAAGGAUUUAUUCGCUUUGGGAUGGGCUCGCGUCCGAUUAGAUAGUUGGUGAGGUAACGGCUCACCAAGUCAGCGAUCGGUAGCCGGACUGAGAGGUUGAUCGGCCACAUUGGGACUGAGACACGGCCCAGACUCCUACGGGAGGCAGCAGUGGGGGAUAUUGCACAAUGGGGGAAACCCUGAUGCAGCGACGCCGCGUGAGUGAAGACGGCCUUCGGGUUGUAAAGCUCUGUCAACGGGGACGAUAAUGACGGUACCCGUGGAGGAAGCCACGGCUAACUACGUGCCAGCCGCCGCAGUAACAC